CCAUUGCCUAUUCAUCUUCUUCAAUGUUCCUCUGGCUAGAGCAAUCAAAAAAAAUAUAACAUCUUCAAACUAUUAUCCCCAUUUCCUCUCACCAUUCUCCACUUCUUUCAUGGACCUUCACCGCUGUCCUUACGAUGGCGAUUCAGCUGACCCUCUCCGCCGUCACAAGUCUCCCUCUCUACCUUCUCCGAACUCGCCCUAUCCUCUCCCUCAUCACCUCCUUCAUCUAAUGGAAUGCAACCCUCGAGCUUUUUAGGUUUUAUUUCUCAAUGCUAAGAAAACUUCGUCGAUGUUAAAGUACAGGAGCUCUUCUAAUGGAAUUCAAGGUCAAUCGAUAGAAUCCCUGAGAUAUUUGAAUCCCUAAGGAAGCUCUUUGCAACGUCAACGAGCUUUUGAAAGCUCCCUUUCCCUAAGGUUACAAGAAGAAGACGACAUCAACAACCAGAAUCACAAACAUGUAUUUGAGAGCCAAAGUGCACCACUUUAAAGACUUCAAGAAUUACUCAGGAGUCAAAGGCCAUGCCUUCAGCUUCCCUUAUGUGCUUUGCUAGUCUUAUCAAAUGUAAAGUCUAGGGGGAAUGCCAUGUAAGCCUACUUUAGGAGGGAUACCUGAAAAAGUGUUGUAGAAAUUCUCUUGAAGAAAAGUAGUUAAGAAGAAAGGCUUCUUUCGCAUGUUUGUUCACAUAUAAGUGUAAGUCUUCUCGACAUGUCUUGUUUGUAAUCCUUACAUGUUGCUUCCUAAAUAAAAGUUGAAAUCCUUUUGAUCCCCUCACAAGUAUCUUGCUAAACACAUUAUCAAAUAUUUAUUCUCUCAUUGCCAUUGACUCAUUAUAUUUCAUUAUUUUUUGACUUAGGAAAAACUUAAAAAUCUUAAACUUGGAUAUACAGAAGAGAUAAUGUUGAAUUGCAUUCCGAGCAAGAAACAAUUACCAUGACAAGAAACCCAACAACUCUGAUGCAAAGGUGAAUCAACUACUGGAUUCAAGUCUUAGAGUUGACGUUGUUGCAGCUAGUUGAUACAGUAAUAAUGACUCCCAAAAGGGAUAGUUCAACUGAAUUUUAGUAUAUCUAAAUCCAUCAAAACAGACACUAAUUCAUUGCUUUUCAGUUACUUGAUUAGGAUAUAGAUGGAUGAGUACCUUAAGGUUUGUAAAAUUAUAAACAAAUAUGAAUUUUAGUUUAGAGAGUGAUGUUGAACCAUUUUAUAUAAUUGGGUUGGACCUUUGUAUAUUACAUAGGCAGGGUUAGUUUAUGUUUGGGAUGCCAAACAUAGGCCACGGUUUGGGAUAACUAUUUUUUUAUUAAUGUAAACAUAGACAACGAUUUUAUAACUGUUGUAUAAACUAUCAUUGGCAACGGUUUUAUAAAUGUUCUAAAAAGUAUUA